CAGAACUCAAAGGAAUUGACGGGGCCGCACAAGCGGAGGAGCAUGUGGUUUAAUUCGAUGAUACGCGAGGAACCUUACCUGGGCUCGAACGUAAGAUGACUGUAGGUGAAAGCUUACAUCUCUUCGGAGCAUUUUACGAGGUGCUGCAUGGUUGUCGUCAGCUCGUGCCGUGAGGUGUCGGGUUAAGUCCCAUAACGAGCGCAACCCCUACCUUUAGUUGCCAUCAGGUUAAGCUGGGGACUCUAAAGGAACUGCCUACGCAAGUAGUGAGGAAGGCGGGGAUGACGUCAAAUCAGCACGGCCCUUACGUCCAGGGCUACACACGUGCUACAAUGGCCGAUACAGAGGGCAGCUACCUGGUGACAGGAUGCAAAUCUCCAAAGUCGGUCUCAGUUCGGAUCGGAGUCUGCAACCCGACUCCGUGAAGUUGGAUUCGCUAGUAAUCGCGCAUCAGCCAUGGCGCGGUGAAUACGUUCCCGGGCCUU
rnacentral:rRNA from 1 species